AACGAACGCUGGCGGCAGGCUUAACACAUGCAAGUCGAACGCCCCGCAAGGGGAGUGGCAGACGGGUGAGUAACGCGUGGGAAUCUACCCAGAACUUCGGAACAACUGAGGGAAACUUCAGCUAAUACCGGAUACGCCCUACGGGGGAAAGAUUUAUCGGUUUUGGAUGAGCCCGCGUUGGAUUAGCUAGUUGGUGGGGUAAUGGCCUACCAAGGCGACGAUCCAUAGCUGGUCUGAGAGGAUGAUCAGCCACACUGGGACUGAGACACGGCCCAGACUCCUACGGGAGGCAGCAGUGGGGAAUAUUGGACAAUGGGCGAAAGCCUGAUCCAGCCAUGCCGCGUGAGUGAUGAAGGCCUUAGGGUUGUAAAGCUCUUUCAGUAGGGAAGAUAAUGACGGUACCUACAGAAGAAGCCCCGGCUAACUUCGUGCCAGCCGCCGCCGUAA
rnacentral:rRNA from 1 species